rnacentral:ncRNA from 1 species
AAGCACAGAGGUUUGGUCCUGGCCUUACUGUUAAUUUUUAUUAGACCUACACAUGCAAGUUUCCGCAACCCGGUGAGUAUGCCCUUUUAACUUCCAUUGAGUUUAAAGGAGCUGGUAUCAGGCACACUUCCAAAAGUAGCCCAUGACACCUUGUUUAACCACCCCCACGGGUUACAGCAGUGACUAACAUUGAGCUAUAAACGAAAGUUUGACUAAAUCAUAAUAAAAGGGGUUGGUAAAUCUCGUGCCAGCCACCGCGGUCAUACGAUUAAUCCAAAUUAACAGAAGAACGGCAUAAAGGGUGUUUAAGCAUUCAAUCUACCAAAUAAAGUUAAAGCUCAACUGCGCUGUAAUACGUCCUAGUCGAUAUUAAAAUACACAACUUAUGUGACUUUUCCCAUGCUGAAGACACUAAAGCUAAGGCACAAAUUGGGAUUAGAGACCCCACUAUGCUUAGCCAUAAACUAAGGUAAUUAAAUAACAAAAUUACUCGCCAGAGAACUACUAGCCACUGCUUAAAACUCAAAGGACUUGGCGGUGCCCUAGACCCUCCUAGAGGAGCCUGUUCUAU